GCAGAUGUUUGUAGAAUUCAGGGUAUUUAUUAUUUGUAGUAAAAUAAUAUAACUAUAUGUUGAUUGUUUAUGGAAUGUUCCAUAUAUAUUAAUGAAAACAUUUUGAAAAAAAGGCUGGGACUAUACUUAAGCAUGCGUUAGGUAGAGCCCGUGAAAAAGUCUUGAAGCCUAGGUGGAUCCGUGAGGAUAACUGGGAGAAACUGCUGCACUUCUGGGCGACUUAUUCGACGUUUUUGAAGCAAAGUGAAAAUGGGAAGAAGGCCAGGGCCUCAGAUAAGGGUGGAUUUCGACAAACUAGUAGGGCCACCAGCCACGAGGACGUUAGGAUGAAGCUGACGGUCGAGAGGGGUCAAGAAGCACCUCAAGAUGAACUCUUCAAGAUAACUCACACGAGGAAGGCGAAGAACAGCGAUGGUACAGACCAAUGGAUUGAGCCAAGGGCUCAGUGAACCUAUACCGAGUUUCAACAACACUUUGGGGAAUAUUGUGCCAGUCAGCCAGCCGGGAUGUCAAUGACUAACGAGAUAAUUGAUCAACAGUGGAUGGAGAAUGAUGCUCCCCCGUCAAGGUAUGGGACAGUUUAUGGGAUGCCUAAUCAAGCAUGUCAUCAAUUCCCGUCAUUCCUUUAAGGCAUAGGUGCUAGUACUUCUGAGGGGGCAGCGGAUCCUAAGAAGUACCAAGAAAUGAAGCAGAAAGUUACUCAACUAACAAGUACACUUAGUGCCACGGAGGCAAGGAUGUUAGGUAUGCAGGCCCAAAUAGACAGCUUACUCAACUCGGGGGCCUUUCCGAUUCCCCGUGUCCCGGGAAUGCUCGUAAGUCACAGCCCAGUAGACGACGUACGUCACAGGCCAACGUAGUUCAUGGUCUUGUGGAUGAGGAUAGUGAGGAGGAUUCGGAUCAUGUCUCUAACACCGAACGUUGACUUUUUUUAUUCGUAUACUUAUGGAUUCUAAUAUUGCUAUGUUUUCUUGGAUAUGUGUAUGAUAUUUUAAGUGUUUGAAUGUAGUUUUAAUUCGAAUUAGAUGUACUUUGAAGGUGAAUUUGAUUGUAGAAUGUAGUUUAUGGUUGUUUAACUUUAUGAUGUUCAAGUGUUUGAAUGU